rnacentral:misc_RNA from 1 species
UGAAAAUAAAUAUUAUCACAAAGGUCUCUCACAGCAAGAAAAGUUGCAUUUAAAAGUUCAAUUGCAACUUUUCACAUUUGAAAAAAAAAUCAACUUUUUGUGAAUUGUAGAUUUGUGGAUUAUCAUACUUUUGUGUUUUCAAAGUUGUGUUUUCUAUUUGCUGAUUGAGGAGAUUUAUAUUUCAAAAAAAUUUUAUUGAUUUUUUUUUCUUUUACUUUUAUAUCUAAAAGCUAGUUGAAAUGGAAGCCAAAUUCAUUCUAAAAUUGAGUCUCCGAAAUACUCAGGGAUUGAAG